rnacentral:tRNA from 1 species
UAGGUAGAAGCCCAUAGGUUUAGGCGCUUAGCUGUUAACUAAGAUUUUAAGGGAUCGAGGCCCUUCUACCUAG